rnacentral:tRNA from 1 species
GUAUAGAUGGCUCAGGGGUUAAGCACUUGACUUGCAAUCUGCAUAUCCUGGGUUCGAAUCUCGUCUGUACC